rnacentral:rRNA from 1 species
GAUGAACGCUGGCGGCGUGCUUAACACAUGCAAGUCGAACGGAGCGCUCAUGACGGAGUUUUCGGACAACUGAUUGAGCUGCUUAGUGGCGGACGGGUGAGUAACGCGUGAGUAACCUGCCUUGGAGUGGGGAAUAACACAGGGAAACCUGUGCUAAUACCGCAUAAUGCAGUUGGGUCGCAUGACUCUGACUGCCAAAGAUUUAUCGCUCUGAGAUGGACUCGCGUCUGAUUAGCUUGUUGCGGGUAACGGCCACCAAGGCGACGAUCAGUAGCCGGACUGGAGAGGUUGGCCGGCCACAUUGGGACUGAG